AUACAGAGGGUGCAAGCGUUAAUCGGAAUUACUGGGCGUUAAGCGCGCGUAGGUGGUUAGUUAAGUUGGAUGUGAAAGCCCUGGGCUCAACCUGGGAAUGGCAUUCAAAACUGGCUGACUAGAGUAUGGUAGAGGGAAGGGGAAUUCCAGGUGUAGCGGUGAAAUGCGUAGAUAUCUGGAGGAACAUCAGUGGCGAAGGCGCCUUCCUGGACUAAUACUGACACUGAGGUGCGAAAGCGUGGGUAGCAAACAGGAUUAGAUACCCUGGUAGUCC
rnacentral:rRNA from 1 species